ensembl:lncRNA
AAGGCUGGAGAACAGCACCACUAUCAGCACCGUCAGCAUACUCUUCUGAGGUGAGUUACACUAUCAGCACCGUCAGCAUACUCUUCUGAGGUGAGUCAAAGCUGCGUGUACUCUUCUUAGGUGAGUUAAAACUGAGUGUACUCUUCUGAGGUGAGUUAAAGUUCAGCAUACUCUUCUGAGGUGAGUCAAAGCUGAGUGUAACCAGUCACACAAUCAUUAAGUGUCUGUUUGUAGGAAAGAAGGCCUGGGGGAGUCAAAAUAUUUGUGUUCCAAAAACCAGAGACAGGAGGCUAGAGAGUUUAUGGAUAAUGAUACUUCAUACUAGCCUGUAUGUAAAUAUGGUACUUCACAAAUUGUCAUUUUUGUCAUAUUCAUAUUUGAUGUAGAAUCCCAAACUACCCAUACACACCUUCGGCUGUGGACCCAUGCAGGACACACACUCACAGUCACUGACUUUAUAACCUGUGGACACAUUUUAUAACCUGGAACCAUAAUCAUAACCAAAUAACCAUUUCCUGGGAUUAAUGCUUUAUUUAUCAAUGUAAAUUCACUUUUAAAUGUUUUGGUCUAGGCAUUUAUUAUCAAAGUUAUUGCGAUUGUCCUGUAGGUGACAAGCUUCAGGGACUGAACUGAACUAUGAAUAGAACUUAAGAAACCAUUUAACACAAUAUGAUCAACAAAAUGUGUGUGUGUGUGUGUGUGUGUGUGUGUGUGUGUGUGAGAGUGAGUGAGUGAGUGAGUGAAUGAGAGAGAGAUGUGUAUGUGUGUGUGUGUUUGUGUGUGUGUGUGCAGUACUCUCAUGUUUGAGAAA